AGUCACUGACAUUAGAUACCCCGGUAGUCCAGGGUGUAAACGCUGCAGACUUGGUGUUGGGAACCCUUCGGGGGUGCUCAGUGCCGGAGAGAAGUUGUUAAGUCUGCUACUUGGGGAGUACGUCCGCAAGGAUGAAACUUAAAGGAAUUGGCGGGGGAGCACCGCAACGGGAGGAGCGUGCGGUUUAAUUGGAUUCAACACCGUAAAACUCACCAGGGAAGACUGUUACAUGAAGGCCGAGAUGAAGACUCUGCUAGAUUUUCAG
rnacentral:rRNA from 1 species